UCCCUGAAGGACUAGUGGUUAGGCCACAGCGUUCUCACCGCUAUGGUCCGGGUUCGAAUCCUGCCUAGGGAA